UGAGCCUUGGCGCAGGAGAGAG
rnacentral:misc_RNA from 1 species